GGUCAACUUUCAGGAGCUCCUACGGCCGCAAUACAGGGUGCUCUGCCUUGUUCUUAGGUAGCAUUUGUUCCCCUUAGUCUCAGACACCUUCCCUCCAAAAAGCGCUCUCCUGGCGGAUUUCAAAGUGGUUCAAAACUGCAAACCAAGUUGUCCGGGAACCGCACAGUUACCUCAUGCUGAAAACCGUUCCAUAACAUUCGUGGCUCAAUCCCGCUGAGGUGACCGGAAACCCACGAAGUCCUCAUGAGGAAUUUAGUUCAUCCAUCACUACCAUUUGUAAUACUUCGGAA